UAGCACAGAAAAAAUUGCAGCCGGCAGCUAGAGUAGCUCUGAGAGAGAGAGAGAAGGCAUAUUUCAUGUUUGUUCGUGAGUCUAACGUUCAUGGCACACACCAGUUAUGGAGGAAUUUCAGAUUUCAAUUGUCGAAUUCCCUCCAGUUUGGAAAUUCAAUGGCCUCAAUACAUGUUAGAUUCACGCACAAACUCGUGAUAUGUCUUUUCAAUUUUAACUGCCCCGAGCUCCUGAUCGAUUCGGAGCUUAUCUGCUGGUGAGAAUCACUCUCAGAUUCAAUUGCAAACGAAAGGAUCUGUUAUUGGAGGUAGCUCAAUCAAAUAUUGGGGAUGUCUUCAUCAACCUUUAUUGAUCUCCAUCAGCAGGUUAUUGAUUUCUUGGUUUGCCAGCUUUCUUGUUUUGGUUUUAAGAAAUCCAGAUGGUGCUUACAAUAAGUUCCAUUCUCUUCAAACACCUUAAACAUUCUGACGAACAAAUCAAUCAUAAUAAUUUCAUCUUCAUAAUUAUGUUCCUUGAAUUUGAGCAGGACUGGAUGAGCCCUUUGCCUGAAGUGUCCCUCCACGAAAUACUCGAAACCGGCCGGAGGUUUCCUCAGAACCCUAGUCAUAUGCUCACAUGCUCUAGCGAAAAACUUCGUGUUAUGCUUCUCCAGCGGUCCUGAACCCCACGAGAUCAAAUUCUGAAUUGCAUGAAGUAUUAGCAAAACAUUAAACUCCCGCUUUUCUUUGUUAUUGCAGCCAGGCCAAAUAUGCUUGAGGCAGCUGUGCCAUGUUUCCCCAAAGUCGAGGCAAACCUUUCCAUCGGGUCGUAGGUUUGGAUUCCAGUCGACCCUGUAAGACAGGUAGUAGAGGUUCGGGGGGAUGCUGGGGUAGUUUACAGGAAAGCAUAUGUCAAAGAAGAACAAACAAUGCUGAUAGUCACUGCCCGGUGGGCCGAGGAAACCUACCCUCAUUAGAUCGAUCCUACGCUCGUAGGCCCGUACGUAAAUCGAGCUCGGGAUGUGUUUCUCCAAGAGGCGCCAUUGAUCCUCCAUCAUUUUUCUGAAUGUCUGCAUGUGUAUAAGAUUCAUGCAGAGGUACUCCUUGUCCAUCAAGUAAUGGUGAUCGGACGGCGUGGAGGAGACCACUUCAAAGUUCUUGAAACCGCUGAAUUGUCUUCCGACUUCAUCUUCUAUCUCUUCGAUCUCUCCGAAUGAUCCCCUCGUCACCGGCGGUGUAAGAUCUUGAUCUUGAUCCAUGUUAAUAUGUUGUGUUUAUGGUUUUAUUCGACAUCGAACUUAAAAAGAUGUUGAAACUAUCAAUUUCUGCAUAGUUGAUUUACAUGAGAGGAUUUGUAUCCUAUUACCUGUAGACUUCUACAUUCAUAGUGCAUCUUUCGGUCUUUAAUUAAGUACUGAUAUUU